rnacentral:rRNA from 1 species
CCUACGGGAGGCAGCAGUGGGGAAUAUUGGGCAAUGGGCGAAAGCCUGACCCAGCGACGCCGCGUGAGGGACGAAGGCCUUCGGGUUGUAAACCUCUUUCAGCAGGGAAGAAGCGAAAGUGACGGUACCUGCAGAAGAAGCACCGGCUAACUACGUGCCAGCAGCCGCGGUAAUACGUAGGGUGCAAGCGUUGUCCGGAAUUAUUGGGCGUAAAGAGCUCGUAGGUGGUUUGCCACGUCGGAUGUGAAAACCUGAGGCUUAACCUCAGGCCUGCAUUCGAUACGGGCAGACUAGAGUGUGGUAGGGGAGACUGGAAUUCCUGGUGUAGCGGUGAAAUGCGCAGAUAUCAGGAGGAACACCGGUGGCGAAGGCGGGUCUCUGGGCCAUAACUGACACUGAGGAGCGAAAGCGUGGGGAGCAAACAGGAUUAGAUACCCUGGUAGUCCACGCCGUAAACGGUGGGCACUAGAUGUGGGGACCUUCCACGGUCUCUGCGUCGCNGCUACGCAUUAAGUCGCCCGCCGUCGGGAGGUACGGCCGCGACGACGUAAACUACAAAGAAGUAGACGGCGUGAGACGUGCCGACGGACGACGACGAGGGAGUAGG